GGGGAGCCAAAUAGGCUUGCGGGGGCACAUGGCCCCAUCUCACACAAGCCGGCGGGAUUUUUUAGACCUAGUAGUUAGGUGAUAGAGUCAUUGGGUUGUGCCUCGCGGGACGCGAGGGGUCAUGUUGAGUGAGUGAUGAUUGUCUAGGUAUUUGCGUACAUGCAUGCUUUUAGGGACGGAGGAAGGUAUUUAUUGUAGAUGGUAUUCAUUUUGACUAGUUUAGUAGCAUUUUUGGGAUGGAGGGAGUAUAUUGAUUCAUCAUCUGAUUUACUAAACUAGUGAUUGUGUAUCAUCAAAUAAAUAAGUAGAGAUAUGUAACAUGCCAACAGAUAGCCUCUCUUCCCUCUUGCAGCGAUUAUUAUUAUGGGCACAUGUGUGCAAUAGCUCGUGUGUUUCAUGUACAACAGUUUGUUUACACAUAAAAAAAGUGGGUGAGGUAAAGCCAACUGGAGGAGUAGGCAGCAUUAGCAUUGCAUAUCACACACUUUGAUCAUUGAUCCCAAGGUAAGGAUAGGGAGCAUGGCCCCCUAGUCCCAAUGCACUGCCCGCCCAACUACAAGAUCUUUUUUUCCUGAGAACAUCAUGUUCAUCG
rnacentral:lncRNA from 1 species